rnacentral:rRNA from 1 species
CACGUAGUUAGCCGGUGCUUAUUCUUACGGUACCGUCAUGGGCCCCCUGUAUUAGAAGGAGCUUUUUCGUUUCCGUACAAAAGCAGUUUACAACCCGAAGGCCUUCAUCCUGCACGCGGCAUUGCUGGAUCAGGCUUUCGCCCAUUGUCCAAAAUUCCCCACUGCUGCCUCCCGUAGGAGUCUGGGCCGUGUCUCAGUCCCAGUGUGGCUGGUCGUCCUCUCAGACCAGCUACAGAUCGUCGGCUUGGUAAGCUUUUAUCCCACCAACUACCUAAUCUGCCAUCGGCCGCUCCAAUCGCGCGAGGCCCGAAGGUCCCCCGCUUUCAUCCUCAGAUCGUAUGCGGUAUUAGCUACUCUUUCGAGUAGUUAUCCCCCACGACUGGGCACGUUCCGAUGUAUUACUCACCCGUUCGCCACUCGUCAGCGUCCGAAGACCUGUUACCGUUCGACUUGCAUGUGUAAGGCAUGCCGCCAGCGUUCAAUCUGAGCCAGGAUCAAACUCU